rnacentral:rRNA from 1 species
CUUUACUAUAUCUUGGCCCUGAAACCCGGAUUUAUCUGUGUAGAAUAGGUGGGAAACUUUGAAGCAGUGGCGCUAGCCAUUGUGGAGUUAACAAGUGAAAUACCACCCUGAUGAAUCUGUGUUUCUAACCCAGCAUCCUUAUCGGGUGCGGGGACACGGUCUGGCGGGUAGUUUGACUGGGGCGGUCGCCUCCCAAAUUGUAACGGAGGCGCACAAAGGUUCCCUCAGCCUGGACGGAAAUCAGGCGGCGAGUGUAUAGGCACAAGGGAGCUUGACUGUGAGACGGACAAGUCGAGCAGGUGCGAAAGCAGGUCUAAGUGAUCCGGCGGUCCCGUAUGGAAGGGCCGUCGCUCAACGGAUAAAAGGUA